UACGUAGGGGGCGAGCGUUAUCCGGAUUCACUGGGUGUAAAGGGAGCGUAGACGGCCAAGCAAGCCAGGGGUGAAAGCCCGGGGCCCAACCCCGGGACUGCCCUUGGAACUGCAUGGCUGGAGUGCGGGAGGGGCAGGCGGAAUUCCUGGUGUAGCGGUGAAAUGCGUAGAUAUCAGGAGGAACACCGGCGGCGAAGGCGGCCUGCUGAAUCGCGACUGACGUUGAGGCUCGAAAGCGUGGGGAGCGAACAGG
rnacentral:rRNA from 1 species